rnacentral:rRNA from 1 species
UUGCACGCUGGCGGCAUGCCUUACACCUGCAAGUCGAACGGCAGCACGGGUGCUUGCACCUGGUGGCGAGUGGCGAACGGGUGAGUAAUACAUCGGAACAUGUCCUGUAGUGGGGGAUAGCCCGGCGAAAGCCGGAUUAAUACCGCAUACGAUCUACGGAUGAAAGCGGGGGACCUUCGGGCCUCGCGCUAUAGGGUUGGCCGAUGGCUGAUUAGCUAGUUGGUGGGGUAAAGGCCUACCAAGGCGACGAUCAGUAGCUGGUCUGAGAGGACGACCGGCCACACUGGGACUGAGACACGGCCCAGACUCCUACGGGAGGCAGCAGUGGGGAAUUUUGGACAAUGGGCGAAAGCCUGAUCCAGCAAUGCCGCGUGUGUGAAGAAGGCCUUCGGGUUGUAAAGCACUUUUGUCCGGAAAGAAAUCCUUGGCCCUAAUACGGUCGGGGGAUGACGGUACCGGAAGAAUAAGCACCGGCUAACUACGUG